AGGGCUGUGUGUUCCAGAAGUCUGAUACCAUGGACUGCAUCACCUUGGCUUCCUGGCUGUCUGGUUAGUGAUUUGAGCAAUGAGAGGCAGCAGCUAGAAAUGAAAGAGUAGUAGAGUGUCUCCUGACACUGUGUGCGUGGUCUCCACUCAGCCUCAGAUUCCUGUAAGUCAGCUGCAUCCAGAUUUCCACCGGCUUCCCCGUCCCGAGAAGGUUACAUUUGGCCGCCACUAAGAUCUGAGAAAAACCUCUUCAGAGGAAUUUUGGCCAAAUCUUCUCUCCCUCUUCUACAGCCACUUUCCUUCUGAAUUUCUUACUUUCCCAGGGCCUGAUUGGUUCAGUACCAAGUGAGGUCAUAGUUACUAUGGUGACUCACAAUUGCCUUCAGAACCUAGUGCAGAUUCAAACACUGGCCACCAUCCCUGGUUUCCUUCUGGUUCACGCCUGAAUAAGGUCUCUCUUCUGUGCUGUCUUCCUGAAGCCAUCUGUGGAGUCAAGCAGUCAUGGCUCAGGCACACUCUGAAGUUGGUCCCAGCACAUCUGCACGGAGCAUCAGGAGAAAGGCGGACGAAUACUUGAGACCCAGCCUGGCCUCUAAAUCUGUGCUGAGCGUUUUACUCAGUAGACAGCUUGGGAAUCAUAGAAACGAUGUGGAUCUGACAGAGUGGCUGUGGACACUGACACAAACCACACCAGGGUGGACCUGGCCUUUGCCAACACGCCAUACAAUCAACCCACCUUUGCACCCUGGGGAGGAUAGAAAAUCCAAGAAAAUGGUGUGGAUCAAUAAAUCCUUCCCCUGAUGCAACCAUUACAAAUGGAAGCUGUGUUCUCACUGCUUUUGGUUGUACAUGGUCUUUGAUCACCUAGUUUCUUGACUUCUGACCAGUCUCUGUGUUACCCGAGGCCACAGCAGAUGAACUUUACCUACUGCCCCCUGAGAAGGUGUUUACUAACGUUGUAGAGUCUGGGGGUGUUGGAGCCACGAGGGGCCCUGUUUCGAGAAGGUGGAAGGGCAGCUGAGUGGACACGUGGAGAGGCCCUGCAACCCUAAAUUUCUAGGGGGAGGGGCCUUUAAGGAGCCCGCUUAGAGGUCUUGAUUUGUCUCCCUUGAAGUUUGGGGGAGAGCGUGGGUAAAAAUUGAAAUCAAAUAAAUUUAAAAUGAGA